GGAGGGGUGGCCGAGUGGUUUAAGGCGACGGUUUGCUAAACCGUUCUGCGACUGAAAGGUUGCAGCUGGGGUUCGAAUCCCCACCCCUCCG
rnacentral:tRNA from 1 species